CCUGUUCCUCCUUGCCCUGUUGUGGUCUUUGCUUGUUAGUAUUGAUUCUGAACUUGUGCAUUCUGGUUACGUACUCUCUGGCUUGUUAUCCGACUCUGUGACUUUCUCCUACCCUUUGACCUCGGCUUGUUUCUCGUUAUUCUGUCUUCUGGUUCCCCUUACUCGGCUUGGUUCCUGACUAUUCUUUGUGUGCUUAGUCCGGCCACUCUAAGGUCCGGUACGGCACUUUGUGUGUGUGUGUGUGUUGGCGUGUUGGGUUCCCCGAAUCGUG